rnacentral:rRNA from 1 species
GUGGAUUAGAUACCCUAGUAGUCCACGCAGUAAACGAUGAUUACUAGCUGUUUGCGAUACACAGUAAGCGGCACAGCGAAAGCGUUAAGUAAUCCACCUGGGGAGUACGCCGGCAACGGUGAAACUCAAAGGAAUUGACGGGGGCCCGCACAAGCGGAGGAACAUGUGGUUUAAUUCGAUGAUACGCGAGGAACCUUACCCGGGUUUGAACGCAGAGAGACAGGGGUGGAAACAUCCUUUUCAGCAAUGACUGUCUGCGAGGUGCUGCACGGUUGUCGCCAGCU